AAGUCGUAACAAGGUUUCCGUAGGUGAACCUGCGGAAGGAUCAUUAUCGAAUGAAUGUAGAGUCGGUUGUCGCUGGCCCUCUCUGAUGGGCAUGUGCAUGCCUUCUCUUUCAUCCACACACACUUGUGCACUUGUGAGACGGAAAAGUGCCCUCGGGCGCCCGUCUGCUCUACAUAAAUUCAUAGAUAUAAAUAAAUCGAAUGCAAUUGAUGUAACACAUCUUUAAACUAAGUUUCAACAACGGAUCUCUUGGCUCUC
rnacentral:misc_RNA from 1 species